rnacentral:lncRNA from 1 species
AGCAAAAGUCACAAUUGAGAACUUGACCUUGACCUUUGACCUUGACCUAAUUUUCUAAGUUAGGACCCAGGGGACUCAAAUAAAAACAUUCCAGGGUUAUACGGUUAACGGUUUAUGAGUUAAAAAAAACAUACCGACAAAUUUAUUCCGUAAAGGUAGAUAACUCCUAUAAAAUUUCAUCGAAUCGCUUCGAUCCAAAUUAGCCAAAAAUUCCUGAGGAUGUAACGAACAAUUUGUAAAAAGAAUUUUGUCGCUAUCUUAUUUUGUUACGAAGGAGAUGCACACACAUGACAAACAGUGAAUAGGGAGAUAACUCUUACAAAGAAAAUGGUUCGGCUUAGCAGGGUGAAAUUUAAAAGCGCAUAAACUAUACGAUACAAUAUGAGAAAUAUCUAAGCGACAUAUUGCGAAACAAACAUUUAUCGCAAGAACAAAAUUUGGCGGAAGAAAAAAAAAAAAUAAUAAUAAAUAUAAAGCAAUUGUUUUGAAAACAAUUGUUAGGCAGUCUUUCCCCUCUGAUGAAUGGAUAAUUGAUUUUUUUUAUUGAUUGAUUUGGAAAAGGGGGGGGGGGUAUUUGUUUAUUUGUUUUUGUUUUGUUUGUUUUUGUAUGGGGUCUAUAUUAUUAUGUUACCGGAGAAGUUUCAUGUUUAGUUUGGAAAGUUUUUCUUUUAUUUUAGGUACAGCGCGCGCGCAAGAUUGAGGAGACAUCACGUGACACGGGUUUAUAUUAACGAAAAACUUAGUCUUUUAAUUUCUUUUUAGGUCGGGACUUGAACAGACAACAUGUAUAGAGAUGGAAUGUACACAAUGUAAUUUCUUUUGUCAUUGUAGGAAAUUGACAUCUUGAUGACAGUUCACGGGCAGUGCAUGUUUUGGAUUUAAUUGAUCCGGUGUAACUUUAAAACACAUUUAUUGAUUAUUUUCUGAUAUUGUACAUUUUUCAGCACCUGUUUGUAACACAGAUUAGUAUUUCAAUCUCGGAGCGGACAUUUUAUUGUAGGUUUUUACUGAGAUUUACGGACCUAGCAAGCGAUUUUUACGGCAUUGCCAUUUCUUUUCUCUAGGAAAAGCUUUGAGAGAUAUCUGCACCAAGUUUUUUUAUAAACUUUCAGUACAUGUAUGCCCUGCUGACUGGAAAUUUUGAGGUCGAUUGUACUUGUAGUUUCAGAGUACAUGUGGAUUUUUUUUCAGAAGUGACGCAAGAACAAUAUUGAAUUUCGAUUUUUCAUGAAACAUGAUUUAUUGAUCAUGAUCAUGAUUGAUUGAUUGAUUGAUUGAUUGAUUGAUUGAUUGAUUGAUUGGUUGAUUAGUUGGUUGGUUGGUUGGUUAAACACGUUGCUUAAACAUGUUGCUUAAACACGUUGGUUAAACACAUUGGAUAGGCUCAAAAUUGGAUCCCGUAUUUAACGCAUGAAACGGAAACAUGCAUUGAUUGAUUGAUUGGUUGGUUGGUUAAACACGUUGGUUAAACACGUUGGUUAAACAUGUUGGUUAAACACGUUGGUUAAACAUAUUGGUUAAACACGUUGGCUGGUUAAACACGUUGGAUAGGCUCAAUUUAAACAAGCGAAAAAAAAACAUCUUGGAUCCCGUAUUUAACACAUGAAACGGAAACAUGCAUUGAUUGGUUGGUUGGUUAAACACGUUGGUUAAACAUGUUGGUUAAACACGUUGGUUAAACAUAUUGGUUAAACAUGUUGGUUAAACACG